GCGCGCUGGAGUGAUGGAGGGGAAGAGAUUCGCUUAGACACACACACGCGCACACAGCUGGGCACGUCUCCGGGAGGCAGCCGCCGGGGGCCGGGCGGCGGCCGUGACAGCACCAGCCGCAGGGACUCGGGCGCCCACACAGCUUGGCCCCUGCGGCUCCAAAGACCGGGAAGGCAAGAUCCCAGCCUCACUGACAGUUGCUCUUUUGGGCAGAUCAGGAGGAAGCAGGCUGCCCAGGGUGCUGUCACCGAGGACCCAGGAGGCUCUCCGUUCGGCGCUCAGAGUCCGGGGCCGCGCCGGUGCCCGCGUGGGGCGAGGAGGAUGCUCACCUCCUCCCGCAGAUCAGCUGCGGGCCCCGGCACUGAGCGGACUCCGGUUCCGGCGGUCGCCCCUACCUUGCCCGCGCCGCGGGAGCGCGCUCUGCCGUACCUGGCUCCAGCCUCCUGGGGAAGUGCAGGAAACGAGCCCUAAACUCCACUACUUCUCGCCGGCCUCCUCCCCCUCGAGGCUCCCCGCCCUGGACCUCGCCGCCGCCGCCGCCGCCUGCGCCUAAGGCCCGCCCGCCUCUUACUCUCACACGCGCACGCACAGCUCCGCUAGCUCGCUCCCAUCCACGCAGACUCGCUCUCCGCCGAGCCCAAGCCCGGGCGUCCGAAACUACUGGCCCAACUGCCAACGGGACUGCAGGAGACGCCCCGGGGCCCGGUGCGACCUGCCGGGGGCCCCCGCGCCCUGGGCUCCCGCCUGCGCCACUGUCGCCGCCGGGGACGUUGGUGCACAGCGAGCAAACCUCCUCCACAACCCUGGAAGCACCUCCUCUUGCUGGACUCCGCUCUCUGGCUUCCCGCCUGGAGGACUUGAGGGCGCCCACCCAAGGGAGCCGCUGUUCACAUCCUGGUUGCCCCAGUACUCACCCGGUUGGAGGACUCUACCCCAAAGGGACCUGGGCUGUCAGAGCAGCAUCUAUGGGGACGUUGCUGAUCUUGGCAUAGGAGAAAGACGUCAGUGUGGAAGACAGGAUAGCCAUAAAGCUACCCUCUGCAACUGACAGAAGUCACUUGUGUUCAUUCUAUUAACCAUGUCAAUUCCUAUGGCCAAGUCUGAUGUCAGUGAGGCAAGAAAAUAGUCUUCUCUCAGAGAGGAGCAGUGAAUAUUUGGAAUAGCUUAACACUGUCUAUGAAAUUACAUAUGAAAUCUCAUCAUAUCUCAACACUAUGGUCUAUCGAGUCUUUUUAGUGGGUAAUUCAAACCUUCAGAGAGAUUAGAAAGGAUAGGUGGCAAGAAGAAGGGAACUAAGCUGCAAGGAAUUUUCUCAAGGGCUACUUGAGCGGCUUCUAUAAGAAUGACCUCCAGGAUUUUUGUCCUUUCACAAAUAGGUUUCUUCUCAUUUAUUGCUUUUGCUAAAAUGAAUUUUAGGCAUUAUCAAAAGGGAAUUUAUACAUGGUACUAUUGCCUUUUUGAAUUUAGAAUAUAUAUUUAGAAUUUGGAAUCGCUUUCUCUGGUGUCAGUUCUGCAGCUGAUUUUUUUUAAUGUGUUAUGUGAGCAAAUGUAGAUUGUAACUAUAAACACAGUGCAAGGAAGAAGCAGACCCAUCUGUCUCUUUCAAACUUGAUUAGGGAAGGGUGUGCAGAUGAUAUUUUUAGUAUGGUCUUAAAAUUAAGGUUAAGUUGCUUUGAAGCAAGUUGACUACCAGAGAUUUAUUCAUUUUGAGGGUUAAGAUAAAACAAAUAGAAAAUAUAUACACAUUCCCAAAGACACAUUAUGUUGCUCCUUUAAAACCACAUUUAUUUUUUGAUUGCAUGGGAAAUAACAUUUGCAAGCAUAGAGAGCUUUCCUCCUCUGACUUUGGUGAUAGAAAUUUUGAAAUGGCAAACAAUUUUAUUACCUGUAGUUAAUACUAUUGGCAAGAAUUGAACAUGCUAGCAGGGAAAAGUCUAUAUACUACCAUGCACUUAUAAAUGAAAAAAAAAUUAUAAUACAGUAAUAUAAACAUCAUAGAUAAAAUUCAAUAAUGAAUGUAAGAAAAAAAGUGGUUUUUCCAGUUGUUCUAGAUCAAAUUUUAAUAGUUUAUCUGAAAGACUUCUCUAUCAAGUCACCAUCUUAUUAAAUUAAGUGACCCCCCCCAAAAAAACAAAUACAAGACUAACUUUAUUUUUUCCUCUUCUUCCAUUACCAUGGGAAACAGAAAAAUGCCAAACAAUCAGAUAAAUAGUCAGAUGCUCGGUUUAUUGAGAAAAACACUGGGAAGGGCCAUUAGUGGCUCUGAUGAGGAAAAAUUUUAAAAGAAAAGAGAGCUGAGGAAAGGUUCAUUUGUACCGUAUAUUAGAUUCCAGAUAUAAGUGAUAUCAUAUGCUAUUUGUCUUUCUCUUUCUUACUUACUUCACUUAGUAUGAGAGGACUAGGAAUUUGACCUAGAUGCAAACUAUUGCCUUUGGAGUGGAUAAACAAUGAGAUCCUGCUGUAUAGCACUGGGAACUAUAUCUAGUCACCUAUGGUGGAGUAUAAUAAUGUGAGAGAAAGAAUGUAUAUAUGUAUGUGUGACUAGGUCACCUUGCUAUACAGUAGAAUAUUGACAGAACACUGUAAACCAGCUAUAAUGGAAAAAAAUAAAAA
rnacentral:lncRNA from 1 species